rnacentral:pre_miRNA from 1 species
CCGCCACUAUGGCAGUGAUAUGUUAUGCACAAAAUCAUAUCACAGUCAUCUUGACGUGUC